AUGGCCUGGAACGGCUUUGUUCCAGUCACCAGGUCAUUUCUUCCUGGCUCUUGGCUGAGGUGGUUCUCAGAAGUCUGUUCCACCUGCUGCUUGACAUGGCUUUCAGGGAAGGACCCAGGUGAGCGGGGCUGCCAGUGUCUGGGGAAGAUGGGGCAUGACAACUGUCCUGAGAGGAGUCCAGUCUGGUGGCCAGAACAGUCAAGGAGGCACCAAGGCUGGCCCGCUGAGAAUGAGCUGAGCCAUAGAGGUCCUUGGGGGAAAGUGGCUGGACGGGCAUCGCCGUGGGGUAUGGUCAGUCCAGGGCACGAAUGGGGCAGUGGGGGAAGACAGCAUCCUGGGAGAUCUCGUAGCUUGUGAAGAGUAUGGUGACUCUCCUGCUGCCCUUAACUCUGACCCCAUGGUGAACAGAAAACAGACUUUGGGAUGCACUUCCCACUGAAACAGAGCUCUCUAUUCCCACUGGGAGUGACCGUCCUGGUCUACAAAUUUAUUCCCGCUUAGGAACUAACAAUUGAUCUUUAACCACCUCCUGAAAGUGAGGAGGUCCAGGAGCCAGUGUGGGCGGCCUUGAGAGAUGGCCUCCUGCAGGUGGGAGCUGGGUGGGGGGUCCUUUAAAAUUAUCUGAGCAAGGAACUGGGAACAGUGGGUCAGGCAGAUGCCUCUGUGGACUAGGGUUCCCAGGCUGGGACAUGGGAGGAGGGAUUGGCAGGACCUGAUGGGUGCUCGUUGAAGGCCUAGGUGUCAGAACCCUCCCAGGCCUGACAGAGCCCACCUGGACCACUUGGGGAUGGCUCUGCCUGGCUGCCCUGGAUGGAGGGACUGGCUAAGAGCAUGGGAUGGCAGAGAAGGCUCUGCUCCAGCAUUUUCUGCCCUUGCCAACCCACCCACCCCAUGGUGUCCCUGUAGGGGGCAGCCUCGUUUCCAAGAGCAACUGUAAAAUAGCUCCAUAAUGUUUAUAUUUAUUACAUAUUGAAAGGAUAUAUUGGAUUAAAUUAUUAAAACUUCAGUUUUUUCCACUCUCUCAACAUGGCUACUAUUACUAGAAAAAUUUAAUUUAUAUUCCUGGCUCACAUUAUAUUUCUAUUUUCUCAUGUUUUUAUAAAAGAACAGAGAUGUACACGUCUAUGUACAUUUUAUAAAAGAACACAGAUGCACAGGUGCACGGGUACGGGAGCCUUCCCCUCACAGAAGUGAGGUCGGCCUCUAUGCACAGUUCUGUUACUUCCUCUUCCACUGAGUCCCUUAGGCCCUCUUUUCCAGAGAGCACGUAUCCACCAACCUCAUCCUUUUCAAUGGCCAGGCUGCUCUCCAUUGCACGCGGAUGCAUUACUCAUUCACCCUCCUCUCCACGGACCAACACUGGGGUGGUCCAUCUACUUUUUCCAGCAAUACUCGGAGAACCACCUUGGUCUGCUGGCUGUGCAGUCUCAUUUCCAGAAGGGUAAAGUUGGGUCUGGUGUGAGUGUGUGAAAUGGUUUUGUAGGCCCUGUAGGCAGGACUGAGGUGGACUUCACCUUGCAGUCACUAGAAAGGCUUAAAACUGCUUGCUCUUUCCAAAUGGCUCUGUAUUUUUCCUUCAUUAAAAGAAGCAAUAAAAGCACAUUAGAGACAGGUGGGAGGAAAAAUAAAGGAAAAAAAAACCCUCCUGUAACCAAUUACACAGAUACUUCUUCCUUUUAGUCUUCUGGUGCAUGUUUUCAUUAGUAGACCUGUAAUCACAGUGCCCAUAAAUUUUAGAUCUUGCUUUUUCCAUUGAAGGUUUUGUGUAAGAUCUUUCCAUGUGACUACAGAAUUUUCAUAAAAAGUUUACUUCGCUGGACACUGGGGCCUUUUCCAGU
rnacentral:lncRNA from 1 species